CAAAUCCUACGGGACGCAGCAGUGGGGAAUAUUGCACAAUGGGGGAAACCCUGAUGCAGCAACGCCGCGUGAGUGAAGAAGGUUUUCGGAUUGUAAAGCUCUGUUAGCAGGGAAGAGGAAGGACGGUACCUGCAGAGGAAGCCACGGCUAACUACGUGCCAGCAGCCGCGGUAAUACGUAGGUGGCGAGCGUUGUUCGGAAUAACUGGGCGUAAAGGAUGCGUAGGCGGUUAAACAAGUUAUAU
rnacentral:rRNA from 1 species